AUUCACAACUCGGGCGCCAAUACUAAACGCAGAUUCUGAUGCCACCGUUGUUAUUGGAAUACUCAAUAUAUCGCAAGCCAUCCUUGCAAGAUUUGGACUUCUACGACUUCUUUCCUUCCAAAAAGCUAAGACAUCAAAUUCUGGAGAUAGAGGCAUCCGCAACUCAUCUAAAUAAGUAUCAAGUUCUGAUUUUCCGGUGUUGUUACUUGAUUGGCUUUCAUAUUCUUCAAAUUCCUACAAAUCAU
rnacentral:lncRNA from 1 species